AAACGCUUGAAGUCAGUCGCGUCUGCUGGGAUUCAGCCUUGCUUCUGCUUGGUGCACUUCCUAGUUGGACGGGUCAACAUCGAUUUCGACCGUCGGAUAAAGGUUUGAGGAAUGUGGCAUCUCCGGGUGUGUUAUAGCCUCUUAUCACAUACGUCGGUUGGGACCGAGGAA
rnacentral:rRNA from 1 species